rnacentral:rRNA from 1 species
UACGGAGGGGGCGAGCGUUAUUCGGAAUUAUUGGGCGUAAAGGGCGCGUAGGCGGCUUGCUGUGUCAAAGGUGAAAUCCCUCGGCUCAACUGAGGAACUGCCUUUGAAACUGUCUGGCUUGAGGCCGGGAGAGGGUAGCGGAAUUCCCAGUGUAGCGGUGAAAUGCGUAGAUACUGGGAGGAACGCCGGUGGCGAAGGCGGCUAGCUGGACUGGAACUGACGCUGAGGCGCGAAAGCGUGGGUAGCAAACAGG